rnacentral:rRNA from 9 species
UAAACGACUCUCGGCAACGGAUAUCUCGGCUCUUGCAUCGAUGAAGAACGCAGCGAAAUGCGAUACUUGGUGUGAAUUGCAGAAUCCCGUGAACCAUCGAGUCUUUGAACGCAAGUUGCGCCUGAAGCCAUUAGGUUGAAGGCACGUCUGCCUGGGCGUCACGC